rnacentral:rRNA from 1 species
AUACGUAGGGGGCGAGCGUUGUCCGGAAUGAUUGGGCGUAAAGGGCGCGUAGGCGGCCCGGUAAGUCUGGAGUGAAAGUCCUGUUUUUAAGAUGGGAAUUGCUUUGGAUACUGUCGGGCUUGAGUGCAGGAGAGGUAAGUGGAAUUCCCAGUGUAGCGGUGAAAUGCGUAGAGAUUGGGAGGAACACCAGUGGCGAAGGCUACUUACUGGACUGUAACUGACGCUGAGGCGCGAAAGUGUGGGGAGCAAACAGGAUUAGAUACCCUGGUAGUCCACACUGUAAACGAUGAAUGCUAGGUGUAGGGGGUAUCGACCCCUUCUGUGCCGCAGUCAACACAAUAAGCAUUCCGCCUGGGGAGUACGGCCGCAAGGUUGAAACUCAAAUGAAUUGACGGGG